CAUGAAACUCCAUUUUUCCUGUGCAAAGUCGUGGAGACAAUGGGUGCCCCAUCCCCAUUGACUGGCAUCUGUUGUCACUGCUAUCCAUGUGAUGUCUCCUAGUGAAAACCCCCUGGAAAGGUGUUCUUUGUUCAGCCACCAGAUCAGAGAAUGGUGUACGGCCCAGGAUAACUUGAUGGGUUGGAGUAGAUUCUUGGAAGAAAAUUGCAUCAGGAAAUUGGCUUGAAAUGGUCUUAUCCUCCAUUGUGCCCAUCUAGUCAGCCCUGUCAUGGAUGACAUAGAUCCGAG